rnacentral:rRNA from 1 species
UACGUAGGGAGCAAGCGUUGUCCGGAAUCAUUGGGCGUAAAGCGCGCGUAGGUGGCCCCGUAAGUCCGCUGUGAAAGUCAAAGGCUCAACCUUUGAAAGCCGGUGGAUACUGUGGGACUAGAGUACGGAAGAGGCGAGUGGAAUUCCUGGUGUAGCGGUGGAAUGCGUAGAGAUCCGGAGGAACACCAGUGGCGAAGGCGACACGCUGGGCCGUACCUGACACUGAUGCGCGACAGCAUGGGGAGCAAACAGG